GCUGAUCUCAAACUCCUCAGGUGAUCCGCCCGCCUCGGCCUCCCAAAGUGCUGGGAUUACAGGCAUGAACCACGGUGCCCGGCUGACACAAGGAACUUUCUAUGAGGUCCUAGGAAUGAAGGAAAACAGGCAAUAAGGCAAGAAUCGCUGUCGAAGGAGUCUGCGCCACCUGCUCGCACAGCUCACUUGUGCCUUCUGAGCCUGCUCGAGCCCAGCGUACAUAUGCCAUCUCCACGUGAUUAGAGAUUGCUGCUGCACGUGCCCAAUCCCGUGGCGGGGCUGGAACACAAACGGGGUGGUGUUCCAGCUGCAACCAUGCAGAUGAAGACUAUACCCUAGGAGACGGAGGAACAACAGACAAGAAAGAAACCUGGGUUCCUGAAUAACCACGUGGAGCCAAGCAGCUUACUUAUCUCAAACCACUGUUGCCCACCUCCAGAUUGAACUGUCUGCAAACAAAUCUUCACUUGAUGAGAAGUUUAAAUAUAAUUAAAUCUAGAAUAUUACAUGAA